CCAAGCAACUCGAAAUGGAAGACGGUAAACACUAUGACCCGUCUGAAUUUUCAGCCGGCCAUUUAAAUCGGCCGGUUAUAGCUCUUUUCAAAAUAAUCAUCAUCUGCCAGAGUUUUGUCGAUUAAACAUCAAUAUAUUCUUCAUUUCUCAUUAAACAGUAAAUGCUGUUAAGUGUCGGAGUCACGCAGAAUGAUGUCUUUGCGCAGUUUGUCCAUAACUUAUGGACAAACUGCGGAUCUUUCGUGGGGGGACGGAGGGGCAAUGGUCCCCCUGUGAUCUGACUGGCCACCCCGUGUGCCCCCCCCAAAAAUUUUCGUUAGAAAUGUACAUUACUGAACCUCCGAUUUCCGACGCUCUGAAAGCAGCUUCGUUGUCCGACUGGAACUGAAGGCACCAAUGACGUCAGUUUGAUCUUUUCAUCGGUAUCGUACAUUUGAUUUGGAUUUGAAGAAGCUUUGGAAACGUUUCCUGAUGCCGGAGGAGAAGACGAGCAGCUUUGCGACCAUGAAACGGAGAGGAGACAUGCAGAACGUUUUCAUUAAAAGAGGUCAGUAGGUCAGACUGACAGUUCCAGAGAGGACCAGGGUCAGCCUGAAUGCAGCCAGGGAUCAUCAUGUGUUGUUGAGCCAAACAUCCAGGGCCAGAGCAGCAACCAUCAACCUCCAGAUGCAUCAGUGGAGGAGCCGGACACUUCUGACCCUGAUGACUGAGAGUAGGACUCUUCAGACUGUGCAAAAAUGCAAUCGCCUUACCUGUAAGCACAGCUGCAUGCGAACGCAGCUUUUCAGCACUGAAACUGAUAAAAACAAAAAUCACUUGCGCACCACCAUGAACAAUGACAGACUGAGUGACCUUGGGGUGCUAAGUGUGGAGUCCAACAGAGCCAAAGCUUUGGAUAUGGGUGAGUUCAUCUGGUUGUUUAGUCGCCCACAUGGUUGUUUUGAAGUGGUUUUGCCUCUAAAAAAAGAGAAGUUUGAAAUUGCACCAUGAAAAUGUACUGAUGCUUGUUCUGAUUAAGACUGAUUACUUUGCACAACCAAGAACCAGAGCUGAGCACUCAGUACUAAGAGUAAAUAAUAUUGCUCACUGUGAAAGUAUGUUGAGAGCAGCUUUUUCUGAUUUCUAUGCAGAACACUAUGACGUUUACUGAGCUAUGCACUAUUAAAUGAUUUAAGAAUAUGGAAUACUGUUACUGUUUAUUAUUCUAAGGUUUACUAUAAAGAGUGCUGCUUAUUGUAUUUUAUUUUAGUAUUUUAAAAAUUACAUUACUGCAAAGAACAUUUAAGAUUAUUUUACCACAGAUCAAGGGUAAAGAUUGUUAUUGUUCACUGUGAUGUAUUGGGUAGUACUCAUUUUGAUUAAGACUGAUUAGCAUACAGAACUCUAUGAUG